GGUGUCAAUUUCUGGUCUUCUUUAUAAAAGGUUAUGCAAUAUAUUGAUUUGUACAUUUGGUUGUUCUUGAUUGAUUGAAUUUUUAUAGAAUCUAACCGGAUGGUGUUUUCAUUUCAAAGAUUUGAGGAAGUAACAUUGUAUUCUAUCAUUCACAACUCAGAAGAACCUUUUUUGAUGUAAUGUAAGGCAUAAUUUUGACGUUUAUGGGACACCAUUAAUUUCCCAAAGGUACAGAUUUGCUAGCUGAGAGGCAGUCCAAAAUUAUUCUUUUGAUGCCCAUCAGGCAGGUACUAAAUUGCCAUUGUGGAAUUGGGGUAGACUAUGCAGCUAUAAACUAAGGUCGAUCUUCAAGAACAAUGUAUGAAUCUGUAACUGGUGGUAAUGACAAGAAUAAAACAUGGUUCAAAUAGCUUGCUUCUUCAUGCUCUUGCUUAGAUGUGGAAAAAUGGGCGCCGGGCAGUUUGGGUAAUAGGUCAAAACCAGUCAAUUUUAGUAACUCGGGUCAAUAACCAAACAUUUUACAAGUAAAUGUAGAAAAGGGGAUGGUUUGGGCAAUGGGUCCAAACGUGUAGUUAUAGCUAAUUUUUUAAUAUAUGAUUAUGAAGAUACUUUUUGCGUAGACUAGCAUGUACGCAUUUCAUACAUUUUGCGUCAAUUCCAAACCAUUUGACUUGUCUUAUUUUUUAACUAUGUUUUUCUGAAAUCAGUAGAAACUUAUAAUCUCGUUGGUCAACGAUAUUACUUGAUUGAUUGAAAGAAAAACAGAAGAAUGUCAAAGAGUUUGGGUAACCCUGCAAUUCUUUCCCCCCUGCUCUGUGAGAUUGCUGGAUCACUUUAACAUUUGGUUAAUUUGAUCGCACAUCAUUGUAUCUUCAUCUGAGCGGUGUCAAAACAUGCUUUAAAGGAGUUCCAUCAGUCAAAGAUAGAUCUUCCAUUUUUAUUUAUAUUUUCCAAAUUGAAGCUCUUUCAGGUAACUAUGCAGACCAUUAAUCUUUGUUGCUUUGAAACAAGAGAACCUGAGUUUCAUGAGCCAACACCCUUGAUUCGUGUUCCACUGUAUUUAUAUUGUGGCUUGGAACGUCUUUUGAAAAAGAUGUCUUGAAAGAUCGGCACAUAUGAGAUGCUACAACCAGCUGACAUUCAGGAUUAUCAUAUUCUAUAUGCUGAAUUGACCCAAAAUUGUUGGGCAUUUUUGGAUCCCUGAGUUCAUUUGUUGAAAACAAGUACUGCUAUUUAUUUUAUUGCAGACGUUUGUAAAGAUGCAAAAUUAUAAUUUUCCA